ACCCCCAUCAAGAAGUGUGUGGGCGUCUCUUCAAUUGCUCUUGAAACAAUAACGGCACUUUCGAUUCAUUACCACACAAGCCUUUCAAAUCCGUAUUUAUUUCACCCCAGAAGAUGUGUGGGGCGCAAAAGUCAAACAGCCCAGACAGAAUACAUUAUGUCGAGACAGCCCCUAGGGUUUAAAACAAUGUUAUACCGGUGACAUAUGCAUACUGGGUUCCUCAAAAAAAAACUAAAAACAGGUGUUAUAUCCCAGACGUUGUAGGAAAUCAAAAGGCAAUGCAGCCAGCAUAGAAUAUGUCUAGACAUCCCCUCCUGUUGUUUUAAAUCAUUGUUUUGUUCUCUAAACAUUCUGGGGUACUACAGGUCCAUUUUUGCAUACAGGACGGCGCCCCAUAAAAACACCACCACUCUGUAAAUUUACCCCACAUGACGUGUUAGGGACACGACUUCGGAGGAGCAGAUGAAACAGAUGCUAUUCUAGGGUUUUGUACUAACGGCCUAACUCCAAACACCAGCCAUCAGCCCAGAACAGCUAAAAGAUAAUCGGUGGAUCCUUCCUUUCUCAUGGAACUUUUUUUGAAGGCUAUGAAAAAAACAAAAGACAGGACAUUGACUCCCGAGUGUUGAACUUAUGCCCACUCUACAGCCACCCUGGUUAUUAUAUGACCCUGAGGGUCAUCUACGAACGUUGGAACAUCUUGAAAAACAGAGACUCUGCUUCACUGCAACUCUCUGCUGCCUCACUCUCUGCACCAGGGACUGAAGCUGCUCUUUCUGGCUGACCAUCGCCUCAUGG